rnacentral:misc_RNA from 1 species
UCUCCGUAGGUGAACCUGCGGAAGGAUCAUUAUUGUAUAACCGAGGUGCGAGGGCUGUCGCUGACCCGAAAGGUCGUGCACGCCCGAGUGCUCUCACACACAUCCAUCUCACCCCUAUGUGCACCACCGCGUGGGUCCCCCUUUGGCUUGUUCGGAGGGGGGCUUACGUUUUCACACAAACUUUGUAUGCAGUGUAGAAUGUAUUUUUUGUUUUUGCGAUCACGCAAUCAAUACAACUUUCAACAACGGAUCUCUUGGCUCUC